rnacentral:rRNA from 1 species
AGCGCAGGCGGUUUCUUAAGUCUGAUGUGAAAGCCUUCGGCUCAACCGAAGAAGUGCAUCGGAAACUGGGAAACUUGAGUGCAGAAGAGGACAGUGGAGCUCCAUGUGUAGCGGUGAAAUGCGUAGAUAUAUGGAAGAACACCAGUGGCGAAGGCGGCUGUCUGGUCUGUAACUGACGCUGAGGCUCGAAAGCAUGGGUAGCAAACA